GAUUGAUUUUCAGCAACCGUUGGGCACGUUGGGCUUUGGGCGGACGGCUCGGGAGCAGGUCGCCACUACCCAGGCAACCGGCCGGAGGCUCUCAGCAUCUGGGUUCUGACGCCCUUGGCAGGCUUCGGCCGUCCGGCGUACGGUUAACAACCAACUUAGAACUGGUAUGGACAAGGGGAGUCUGACUUUCUAAACAAAACACAGCAUUGCGAUGGACAGAGAGUGGUAUGGACGCAAUGUGAUUUCUACCCAGUGCUCUGAAUGUCAAAGUGAAGUAAUUCAACCAAGCACGGGUAAACAGCGGGAGUAACUCUUAAGGUAGCCAAAUGCCUCGUCAUCUAAUUAGUGACGCGCAUGAAUGGAUCAACGAGAUUCCCAC
rnacentral:ncRNA from 1 species